UGAUUUCUCACCCUUCUCUGCUGCAUUUCUUACUCUUCUCAAUAGCAAGCCCCUUCUCAACAACAAAGUUCAAGUGGUAUAUCUUCUCCUCAAUUUGAUUCUUCUCUCUCUUCAAUUCAUUUUUUUUUCCAUAACACAUCUACUGUAAUCUCUUGUUUCUUUGCAGAAAGAGCAACAAAACACAAUUUUUAGGGCUUCGUGGAUCGUGAGGAUUAGCACUGCUAUUCCGAUUCAGAGAUAAGAUUAAACGAUAAGCAUUGCCUAUACAGGUGGGCUUAUUUUCUAAAUGUAUGUUUGAGUUAUAAACUCUAAAUGUUUCAUGAAAUGCAAACUGUUUAUCCAAUAAAUAUUUUUGUGCGCUCUGUUAUGUUUAAGGCUUGCAAUUCAUGGAUCGAUCGAGAUUCUCUUACGGCCUAACACAUUAUUUGAUAAUUGUGUACACUUGUUAGUUGUUUUGGUGGGUUGAUCUCCAUCGGGCACUAAUGCAUGAAAAAAACGUUAUUAGGAUGCUUGGCUGGAUGUGUUCCGGAGCAUGUAUCAUGUAAGACCUGCCUGGGUAGCGCCCCGAGGUCAAUUCAACUUAUCUGAGGUUGAUGGCUGGUGUUGACGGAGAGAGCUGAGGCUAGGAUUCAACUCCGUAUUUUGACUUACGCUGCAGUACUAGCCUUUAUCUAUCUUUCGUUUUCUUGACUUAAGACCUUUAUGUUAUGACUCUAAACGAUAUCUUUUGUUGAGCCUAGACUUUUAACUCUUAAAGUAUUUUGAUUAAGGAAUGUUGGUUAUCUGAGGCAUGAAACUAAACUUGUGAUCCUGAAGUAUGUUUGUUGAUUGAUUUGUAUCAAUUGGAUAUCUGUCUUUUUACAUCCAAAGGGGCAAUGCCCAAUUAUUAUCCCUUUUAUUCGAAUUUUACAAGGUUUUCCCCUUGUUCAUUUUAAUGAUUAGUCGUAUCCCAGUUAUAGUUAUUGUUUCAAGAAUUGGGGUGUGACAGUCAUGCAGAUACCCGUGGGCAUGACUGACAAUUUUUAGAUGGGGGCAUACUGGGCGCGGGACGAUGUUCAGACCGUUUCCCGACGUGCGCGUGCGAACCGGAUGUCUGAGACCGAUGGAUCGGGUACAAGGAUCAGUAGGCACGUUGGAGGGUCUCAGUCCACUCGUAUCCUGCAACAGAGUCUGAGCUUGGAGAGUGGACUUCCUCCGACUGCACAGAACAAUAGCACCCUUCCUUCGCCUCCACACACGCUCGGAUGGAAGGUAUGUGAAUGAGAGGGAUGCUAGACUUGAUACGAAGAUUUAUCGCAUUGCUGCUACGCAAGGACGAGAGAAUCAACUGAACGAGAUCUACUUGGAGCUCGUACAUCCCAGCAGGUCACGACUGUACGGCACUGGAAGUGUCGGUGUAAGCCAGGUUAGUAGUAGGUCUACUAACACAGCAUAAGCACUUCCAGGAUGUCCCUGCAGAUUUAUGAGACACAAAUCACCACGCUAGAGGAGCAGCUGGCUGAAGAACUAGCAGUACGUCGAGCCCUCGAGGAGCGGAUGGCUAUGUUCGAGCAGUAUAUGAGGCAGUCGGGUCCUUGAUGCUCUACUCAUUAGGUCUCUGAUCCCCGAUCCAUCGUCCUGACUUCUAUGUAUUUCAAAGUGUUGAACUAUUUAUUUCAUGUUUUAGAACAACAUUACAAUUGCACUUUGUUUUUAUAUUUAUGUUUUGUUCAACUAUUUAUUUCAAAUUUUGGAACAACAUUGCACUUA